rnacentral:piRNA from 1 species
UNGAAACCCUGCUGAUGUGGGCUUACUCUU